UACAGAGGGUGCAAGCGUUUAAUCGGAUUUACUGGGCGUAAAGCGCGCGUAGGUGGCCAAUUAAGUCAAAUGUGAAAUCCCCGAGCUUAACUUGGGAAUUGCAUUCGAUACUGGUUGGCUAGAGUAUGGGAGAGGAUGGUAGAAUUCCAGGUGUAGCGGUGAAAUGCGUAGAGAUCUGGAGGAAUACCGAUGGCGAAGGCAGCCAUCUGGCCUAAUACUGACACUGAGGUGCGAAAGCAUGGGGAGCAAACAGG
rnacentral:rRNA from 1 species